CCAGGAAAAGCCUCUAAGCAUCAGGUAACAUCAAAUCGUACCCCAAACCGACACAGGUGGUCAGGUAGAGAAUACCAAGGCGCUUGAGAGAACUCGGGUGAAGGAACUAGGCAAAAUGGUGCCGUAACUUCGGGAGAAGGCACGCUGAUAUGUAGGUGAAGUCCCUCGCGGAUGGAGCUGAAAUCAGUCGAAGAUACCAGCUGGCUGCAACUGUUUAUUAAAAACACAGCACUGUGCAAACACGAAAGUGGACGUAUACGGUGUGACGCCUGCCCGGUGCCGGAAGGUUAAUUGAUGGGGUCAGCGCAAGCGAAGCUCUUGAUCGAAGCCCCGGUAAACGGCGGCCGUAACUAUAACGGUCCUAAGGUAGCGAAAUUCCUUGUCGGGUAAGUUCCGACCUGCACGAAUGGCGUAAUGAUGGCCAGGCUGUCUCCACCCGAGACUCAGUGAAAUUGAACUCGCUGUGAAGAUGCAGUGUACCCGCGGCAAGACGGAAAGACCCCGUGAACCUUUACUAUAGCUUGACACUGAACAUUGAGCCUUGAUGUGUAGGAUAGGUGGGAGGCUUAGAAGUGUGGACGCCAGUCUGCAUGGAGCCGACCUUGAAAUACCACCCUUUAAUGUUUGAUGUUCUAACGUUGACCCGUAAUCCGGGUUGCGGACAGUGUCUGGUGGGUAGUUUGACUGGGGCGGUCUCCUCCUAAAGAGUAACGGAGGAGCACGAAGGUUGGCUAAUCCUGGUCGGACAUCAGGAGGUUAGUGCAAUGGCAUAAGCCAGCUUGACUGCGAGCGUGACGGCGCGAGCAGGUGCGAAAGCAGGUCAUAGUGAUCCGGUGGUUCUGAAUGGAAGGGCCAUCGCUCAACGGAUAAAAGGUACUCCGGGGAUAACAGGCUGAUACCGCCCAAGAGUUCAUAUCGACGGCGGUGUUUGGCACCUCGAUGUCGGCUCAUCACAUCCUGGGGCUGAAGUAGGUCCCAAGGGUAUGGCUGUUCGCCAUUUAAAGUGGUACGCGAGCUGGGUUUAGAACGUCGUGAGACAGUUCGGUCCCUAUCUGCCGUGGGCGCUGGAGAACUGAGGGGGGCUGCUCCUAGUACGAGAGGACCGGAGUGGACGCAUCACUGGUGUUCGGGUUGUCAUGCCAAUGGCACUGCCCGGUAGCUAAAUGCGGAAGAGAUAAGUGCUGAAAGCAUCUAAGCACGAAACUUGCC
rnacentral:rRNA from 1 species